rnacentral:rRNA from 1 species
GGGUUAAGUCCCGCAACGAGCGCAACCCUCAUCCUUAGUUGCCAUCAUUGAGUUGGGCACUCUAAGGAAACUGCCCCGGUUAACGGGGAGGAAGGUGGGGAUGACGUCAAGUCCUCAUGGCCUUUAUGUCCAGGGCUACACACGUGCUACAAUGGACGGUACAAAGGGUCGCAAUGCCGCAAGGUGGAGCUAAUCCCAAAAAACCGUUCUCAGUUCAGAUUGGAGUCUGCAACCCGACUCCAUGAAGGCGGAAUCGCUAGUAAUCGCGGAUCAGCAUGCCGCGGUGAAUACGUUCCCGGGCCUUGUACACACCGCCCGUCACACCAUGAGAGCUGACUGUACCAGAAGCCGCUAGGCUAACCUUGAGUUCGUCUUGAGGGCGCAGGCGCCUAAGGUAUGGUUGGUGAUUGGGGUGAAGUCGUAACAAGGUAACC